CGGCACGGGUGCGUAACGCGUAUGCAACCUACCAUCAACAGGGGGAUAACACUGAGAAAUUGGUACUAAUACCCCAUAAUAUCUCAUGCGGCAUCGCAUGGGGUUGAAAACUCCGGUGGUUGAUGAUGGGCAUGCGUUGUAUUAGCUGGUUGGUGAGGUAACGGCUCACCAAGGCGACGAUACAUAGGGGGACUGAGAGGUUAACCCCCCACAUUGGAACUGAGACACGGUCCAAACUCCUACGGAAGGCAGCAG
rnacentral:rRNA from 1 species